rnacentral:rRNA from 1 species
GUGGGGAAUCUUGCGCAAUGGGCGAAAGCCUGAUCCAGCAAUGCCGCGUGCAGGAAGAAGGCCUUCGGGUUGUAAACUGCUUUUGUACGGAACGAAACGGUCCGGGUUAAUACCCUGGGCUAAUGACGGUACCGUAAGAAUAAGCACCGGCUAACUACGUGCCAGCAGCCGCGGUAAUACGUAGGGUGCAAGCGUUAAUCGGAAUUACUGGGCGUAAAGCGUGCGCAGGCGGUUUUGUAAGACAGGCGUGAAAUCCCCGGGCUCAACCUGGGAAUUGCGCUUGUGACUGCAAGGCUGGAGUGCGGCAGAGGGGGAUGGAAUUCCGCGUGUAGCAGUGAAAUGCGUAGAUAUGCGGAGGAACACCGAUGGCGAAGGCAAUCCCCUGGGCCUGCACUGACGCUCAUGCACGAAAGCGUGGGGAGCAAACAGGAUUAGAAACCCGGGUAGUCC